rnacentral:rRNA from 1 species
GACGAACGCUGGCGGCGUGCCUAAUACAUGCAAGUAGAACGCUGAAGAGAGGAGCUUGCUCUUCUUGGAUGAGUUGCGAACGGGCGAGUAACGCGUAGGUAACCUGCCUUGUAGCGGGGGAUAACUAUUGGAAACGAUAGCUAAUACCGCAUAACAAUGGAUGACACAUGUCAUUUAUUUGAAAGGGGCAAUUGCUCCACUACAAGAUGGACCUGCGUUGUAUUAGCUAGUAGGUGAGGUAACGGCUCACCUAGGCGACGAUACAUAGCCGACCUGAGAGGGUGAUCGGCCACACUGGGACUGAGACACGGCCCAGACUCCUACGGGAGGCAGCAGUAGGGAAUCUUCGGCAAUGGGGGCAACCCUGACCGAGCAACGCCGCGUGAGUGAAGAAGGUUUUCGGAUCGUAAAGCUCUGUUGUAAGUCAAGAACGAGUGUGAGAGUGGAAAGUUCACACUGUGACGGUAGCUUACCAGAAAGGGACGGCUAACUACGAGCCAGCAGCCGCGGUAAUACGUAGGUCCCGAGCGUUGUCCGGAUUUAUUGGGCGUAAAGCGAGCGCAGGCGGUUUGAUAAGUCUGAAGUUAAAGGCUGUGGCUCAACCAUAGUUCGCUUUGGAAACUGUCAAACUUGAGUGCAGAAGGGGAGAGUGGAAUUCCAUGUGUAGCGGUGAAAUGCGUAGAUAUAUGGAGGAACACCGGUGGCGAAAGCGGCUCUCUGGUCUGUAACUGACGCUGAGGCUCGAAAGCGUGGGGAGCGAACAGGAUUAGAUACCCUGGUAGUCCACGCCGUAAACGAUGAGUGCUAGGUGUUGGAUCCUUUCCGGGAUUCAGUGCCGCAGCUAACGCAUUAAGCACUCCGCCUGGGGAGUACGACCGCAAGGUUGAAACUCAAAGGAAUUGACGGGGGCCCGCACAAGCGGUGGAGCAUGUGGUUUAAUUCGAAGCAACGCGAAGAACCUUACCAGGUCUUGACAUCCCGAUGCUAUUUCUAGAGAUAGAAAGUUACUUCGGUACAUCGGUGACAGGUGGUGCAUGGUUGUCGUCAGCUCGUGUCGUGAGAUGUUGGGUUAAGUCCCGCAACGAGCGCAACCCCUAUUGUUAGUUGCCAUCAUUCAGUUGGGCACUCUAGCGAGACUGCCGGUAAUAAACCGGAGGAAGGUGGGGAUGACGUCAAAUCAUCAUGCCCCUUAUGACCUGGGCUACACACGUGCUACAAUGGUUGGUACAACGAGUUGCGAGUCGGUGACGGCAAGCUAAUCUCUUAAAGCCAAUCUCAGUUCGGAUUGUAGGCUGCAACUCGCCUACAUGAAGUCGGAAUCGCUAGUAAUCGCGGAUCAGCACGCCGCGGUGAAUACGUUCCCGGGCCU